UUUUUUUUUUUUUUUGCCUUUCUCCCUCUCCCCCUCUUCCUCUCCCGCCAUCCUCCCCCUUUGCCAGAUUUGAACCUCCCUUUUUUUUCUCCCAUUCUCCCUCCUCCACUCCUCCCCUACCACCCUUCCCCUCCCCCUCUGGCCGAUCUGGUCGCCAGACCAGAUCGCACGGGGGAAGGGUGAGGGUGGCAGGGGAAGGAGAGGCGAGAGAAAGAGAGGGAAAAUUGCAAAAAAAAAAAAAAGUUUUUGUUGCUGCUUCACCUGCCAGGGGGACGGAGAGUUGGCGAGCGAGGGAAGGGAGAGGGGGAAGGGAGAGGGGGAAGGGAAGAGGGGAGGAGAGGGGGAGAGGGAGAGGAUGGGAGAAGAGGGGUGGUGGGGGAAGGGGAGAGGGGAUGAGAGAGGGAGAAGGAGAGGGAGAGGGAGAGGUGGCAGGUAGGAGAGGGGGGAGAGAAAAAAAGCAAAAAAAAAAAAAGGUUUUCUUUUGCUGCUUCAUUAGCAGUUUCGAGGGAGGGAACAGGGGAGAGAAGGGGAAGAGGGAGGGGGAGGGGGAUGGGGAUGGGGAUGGGGAAGGGAGAAGAAGCAGGAAGGAAGGAAAGAAAAGAAAAAAGAAAGAAAAAAGAAAAAAGAAAAUGAAAAGGAUAAAAGGCCUUAGUUCAGUAUAAAAAAAUAAACCUUAGAUAAGAAACUCAAAACUGACAAUAAUUACACUUUCUUUACAGUAAUAACUAACCUUCUAGGUGAAUUACACACAAGAAAAAAUUCCAAAAUUUGCACCAACAUUGCAGCCUAGCUUAAAAAUCCAAAAAAGAAAUUAACAAAGGUCCACCUCUAGAAAGUUUAGUCAAAAUGAAUUCAUCUCCAAUGUGUAACUUCUUUUCAUCUUCAACAACUUCCUCACAG
rnacentral:lncRNA from 1 species